rnacentral:tRNA from 1 species
GGGUAUAUAGCUCAUUUGGGAGAGCGACAGGCUUUUAACCUGAUGGGUAUUGGUUCGAGUCCAGUUGUACUUA